GUCAAGGAGUCAUUCUUAGAGAGCUUGUUUUAAUGUUUUGGUUUCAGCGUUUGUCUUUGUGUGCAGUGUUGGUCUGUGCCCGUUUGUGUCUGGGUUGGAGCUGCUCUGCCUGGAGACACAGAGCAAUAGUCCACAAAAGAAUAGCAAUAAGAAUCUAAGGCUAAUGGGGUGAUAAGUAUAGACUUUGUAGGGAGAGGACAUACAGCCCAUUUCAGGGCAAGCAGCCAUAUACGCAGGAGGCGUGUGAGUUUUCUCCGUAGCGUUUUGCAGAGACGCCAGAGAUGACUGGGCUGUGUUUAACGGCAGGUCACAGUGAGAAUCUAGAUGGUAUACUUAAAGGAGGCCUCUAGAAUUGUUUAACCAUCACUCGGCAUCCAGGUGACUCGUUUGAUACCGGUUUUGCAGGUGCAGAGGGGGGAACCGCACCCCAAAGGAGGACGGAGGAGACGAGCGGAACGCCGUAAGAAGGCAGUACACGAGCCUCUACAGGGGAAACUGUGAACAGCAGAGGCAAUGUGACGGAUGUAGCUUUGUAAGGGCGAAGCCACACACUGGAGGAGCCGUCUGAGGCGAGGUGACAUCUGCCAGGUCCGCAUCUGAUCAUCGAGUAUCCCACGGCAUCUAAG